GAUGAACGCUGGCGGCGUGCCUAAUACAUGCAAGUCGAGCGAACAGACGAGGAGCUUGCUCCUCUGACGUUAGCGGCGGACGGGUGAGUAACACGUGGAUAACCUACCUAUAAGACUGGGAUAACUUCGGGAAACCGGAGCUAAUACCGGAUAAUAUAUUGAACCGCAUGGUGCAAUAGUGAAAGACGGUUUUGCUGUCACUUAUAGAUGGAUCCGCGCCGCAUUAGCUAGUUGGUAAGGUAACGGCUUACCAAGGCAACGAUGCGUAGCCGACCUGAGAGGGUGAUCGGCCACACUGGAACUGAGACACGGUCCAGACUCCUACGGGAGGCAGCAGUAGGGAAUCUUCCGCAAUAGGCGAAAGCCUGACGGAGCAACGCCGCGUGAGUGAUGAAGGUCUUCGGAUCGUAAAACUCUGUUAUUAGGGAAGAACAAAUGUGUAAGUAACUAUGCCCGUCUUGACGGUACCUAAUCAGAAAGCCCCGGCUAACUACGUG
rnacentral:rRNA from 1 species